GCAGACGGGUGAGUAACGCGUGGGAACAUACCCUUUUCUACGGAAUAGCUCUGGGAAACUGGAAUUAAUACCGUAUACGCCCUACGGGGGAAAGAUUUAUCGGGGAAGGAUUGGCCCGCGUUGGAUUAGCUAGUUGGUGGGGUAAAGGCCUACCAAGGCGACGAUCCAUAGCUGGUCUGAGAGGAUGAUCAGCCACAUUGGGACUGAGACACGGCCCAAACUCCUACGGGAGGCAGCAGUGGGGAAUAUUGGACAAUGGGCGCAAGCUUGAUCCAGCCAUGCCGCGUGAGUGAUGAAGGCCUUAGGGUUGUAAAGCUCUUUCACCGAUGAAGAUAAUGACGGUAGUCGGAGAAGAAGCCCCGGCUAACUUCGUGCCAGCAGCCGCGGUAAUACGAAGGGGGCUAGCGUUGUUCGGAAUUACUGGGCGUAAAGCGCACGUAGGCGGAUAUUUAAGUCAGGGGUGAAAUCCCAGAGCUCAACUCUGGAACUGCCUUUGAUACUGGGUAUCUUGAGUAUGGAAGAGGUAAGUGGAAUUGCGAGUGUAGAGGUGA
rnacentral:rRNA from 1 species